GAAAGAAACUUUGAAGUGAAAGGAUGAUCUUCAAUCUCCCUCGAAGGCUUCCAAUUUUCUGACUCGUUUUGAAUGCAACAGGCAAAAAACCGGAGGCCUGAGAGGGAGGUUGACGGCCCAUUCCUUUUAACAUAGAAUAUGGGUGAGUGUUCACGCCAAAAAGCUACGUGUUUCCCGGAUGACUUGCUCAAGAGAGCAAAGGCAUCUUGUAAUUGUUCUUGAUACGAUGUUGUUACUUUGUAGUGUAAAAGAAGAAGGGUUUUGUAAUGAUGAACUAGACUUUAUGAGUCACCUAAUAAGAGUUCCACAGGACUUCAACUCUGUAAAUUGGACGGCAACCUCCUCAUCCUGACUGCAUCGGUGCAUCCUCGUGGUCGACCGAAGAACAUAUUGGAAAGAUCGUGAGCGGAUGAGAUAGAAUUCUGUUGAGAUGGCUACAUUAGAUGCAUAAGUAAAGAAAUGAAACGCGAUAGAUGAAUGAAUUACGAGCAAAGUUCACAU